GCGAGGGUGGCGGAACUGGCAGACGCACUGGACUUAGGAUCCAGCGGGUAAACCGUAGGGGUUCAACUCCCCUCUCUCGCACCA
rnacentral:tRNA from 1 species